UGGGGAAUAUUGGACAAUGGGCGCAAGCCUGAUCCAGCAAUGCCGCGUGAGUGAUGAAGGCCUUAGGGUUGUAAAGCUCUUUCGGCGGGGACGAUGAUGACGGUACCCGCAGAAGAAGCCCCGGCUAACUUCGUGCCAGCAGCCGCGGUAAUACGAAGGGGGCUAGCGUUGUUCGGAAUCACUGGGCGUAAAGGGCGCGCAGGCGGCCAUUCAAGUCAGAUGUGAAAGCCCCGGGCUCAACCUGGGAGGUGCAUUUGGGACUGGAUGGCUUGAGAUCGGGAGAGGAGAGUGGAAUUCCCAGUGUAGAGGUGAAAUUCGUAGAUAUUGGGAAGAACACCGGUGGCGAAGGCGGCUCUCUGGACCGAUACUGACGCUGAGGCGCGAAAGCGUGGGGAGCGAACAG
rnacentral:rRNA from 1 species